rnacentral:misc_RNA from 1 species
UAUAACUUGCUUAUGGAUGGAUUUUGGCUUUGAUUUUGGCUAACUUGUUUUUAGAAUUUUGUAAUAUAGAUACUAAAUGAAUAUCUUGAGACAAACUGUAUUUUCUAGCGUUGGUUUUAUAACAAAAUCAAUAAUUCGUCCAGUUUCAAAUAGCAGUAAUUUGAUGUCAAAUAUGGAUAUUACUACGGUUAGAGGCGGGGCGAAGAGAAUAGUAUGGGUAGACUUGGAAAUGACGGGUCUGGAUAUAGAAAAGGACCAUAUACUGGAGAUUGCCUGCUUGGUUACCGAUGCUCAGCUCAACAUAGUUGCUAAGGGCCCCAACCUUAUCAUACAUCAGCCAGAUGAUAUUCUAAGCAGCAUGAACCCUUGGUGCGUCAAUCAACAUGGUGAGAGUGGACUGAUGGAGGCUAGCAGGAAAUCAAAAAUUUCUCUCAGAGAUGCUGAAAACCAAGUUUUGAAAUUUGUCACUUCUCAUGUGCCUGAGAAGAAGUGUCCCUUAGGAGGGAAUAGUGUUUACAUGGACCGAUUAUUCCUCAGAAAAUACAUGCCAAGAUUUGAUAAUUACUUACAUUACAGAAUCAUAGAUGUCAGCACUAUAAAGGAACUAGCUAAGCGAUGGUACUCACGGGAAUUCUCAAGGAUACCACAGAAAAAGUUCAAACAUCGCUCCAUAGAUGAUAUUUUGGAAAGUAUAGAGGAAUUGAAGUAUUAUAGAGAGAAUAUUUUCAAAAAUGUUGAUGCGGAUAUAGAAAAUUGACACUUGAAGAGGCAGUCUAAUUCUAGACUCACCAGUUGUAGAAAAUUAUGUUAGAUAAUUUUUACUAUUGUGUUUCGUGAUCAAUGAUUGAGUAUUUAGACAUGUUUGUUAUUUGAUAGUACUGAUGUAAAUCAGCUAUCGACACAAUACAGGGUGUUAGUGACAUCAUAACGAAUACUAAGGGGCAUGAUUCAGACAAUGAUUCUGAGUUAAUAUGAAUUGGGAUUUUCCAUCAGAAUAUUCAUGUUUUUUUUUUGCGUUUUUUUCAAUUCUAAAUUCCACUAGAUCCCCCUCAGUAUUCAUUACGAUGUCACUUACACCCCAUACAAGUAUUUACAGGUAUGCCAUAAAGUAUGUAUGGGUGUUAGUGACACUGUAACAAAUACUGAGGGAGAUGAGUUAGACCACGAUUCUGAGUUGAUAUCAAGUGGAAUUUCCUGUCGGAAAUUCAUGAGAAUUUUAGUGUGUUUUUUAAAUUAUUUUCCGUUCUAUACUUUUGCGAUGGAAAAUUCCACUUGAUAUCAACUGAGAAUCAUGGUCUGAAUCAUCCCUCAGUUUUCGUUACGAUGUUACUAACACCUUGUAUAGUUUAUUUUCAAGGUCAACUAUCGAUAGUUCGGCAACACUAGUGAGUGAAAGAUAUAGAAUAAUACAUGAUUAUUACAAUUUGAACUUUGCAUCUUUAUAAGAACUGAUUGACUAUUUAUUGUAGUG